AUGCGGCCAUAACACAUCGAAACACUGGUUCCCGUACAAGCACAAAAGUUAAGCAGACUCGAACCUUGUCAGUAUUUAGAUGAGUGACCGGUUGGGAAUAUCAGAUGCUGUU